ACGAUGAAACAAAGGGUGCUUCGGCACGCGUCUCCCGACUCAUGAGAAUGGAAGGGGAAAACGCGCGGUGAGGCUGAGAGAGUCCCUUUAGAGUCCCUUUGCACCCGAUCCGGGUAAUACCGGCGAGGGAAGUUUCCGGAAACCGCCG
rnacentral:ncRNA from 1 species